UACCGACUAAGGUCCCAAAAUUCAUGCUAAGUGAUUAAGGAGGUGGAGUUGCAUAGACAACUAGGAUGUUGGCUUAGAAGCAGCCACCAUUCAAAGAAAGCGUAAUAGCUCACUAGUCAAGCGACUCUGCGCCGAAAACGUAUGGGGCUAAGCAUGAUACCGAAAUCGUAGGAUCGGAGUAAUCCGAUCGGUAGGGGAGCGUUCUGUUGUAGGACGAAGUGCGACCGGAAGGACGCAUGGACGAAGCAGAAGUGAGACUGUCGGCUUAAGUAGCGAAAACAUUGGUGAGAAUCCAAUGCACCGAAAGACUAAGGGUUCCCACGCAAGGUUCGUCCACGUGGGGUUAGCCGGGAGCUAAGAUGAGGCCGAGAGGCGUAAUCGAUGCACAACGGGUUAAUAUUCCCGUGCUACCUUGUAACCGCUAGGAGCUAAGUCGGGACGCAGGAGGCUAUACACAGGGGACUGAUUGGUUGUCCCUCCAAAGGCGUAGCUAGUCUGGGUAGGCAAAUCCGCCCGGGCGUUUUAACGUAAGGCCGAGUAGGGAAUGCUCUACGGAGCAAAUUGUGUAGAUGCCACGCUGCCGAGAAAAGCGGCGAAAGCCAGGUUACAUGGUACUCGUACCCGAAACCGACACAGGUAGUCAGGUAGAGAAUACUAAGGUGCGCGAGAUAACUCUCUCUAAGGAACUCGGCAAAAUAACCUCGUAACUUCGGAAGAAGAGGUGCCAUAUUAGGGUGUAAGACUUCGCGUCUGAAGCCUGAGAUGGUCGCAGCGACGAGGCUCAAGCGACUGUUUAUCAAAAACACAGGUCUCUGCUAAACCGUAAGGUGAUGUAUAGGGGCUGACUCCUGCCCAGUGCCGGAAGGUUAAGUGGAUCGGUUAGCGCAAGCGAAGCUGAGAAACAAAGCCCCGGUGAACGGCGGCCGUAACUAUAACGGUCCUAAGGUAGCGAAAUUCCUUGUCGGGUAAGUUCCGACCCGCACGAAUGGCGUAAUGAUGGCCACACUGUCUCCUCCAGAGACUCAGCGAAGUUGAAGUGUUUGUGAUGAUGCAAUCUCCCCGCGGCAAGACGGAAAGACCCCAUGAACCUUUACUGUAGCUUUGCAUUGGACUUUGAACCGAUCUGUGUAGGAUAGGUGGGAGGCUAUGAAACCGGGACGCUAGUUUCGGUGGAGCCAUCCUUGAAAUACCACCCUGGUUUGUUUGAGGUUCUAACCUUGGUCAGUGAAUCCUGAUCGGGGACCGUGCAUGGUAGGCAGUUUGACUGGGGCGGUCUCCUCCCAAAAGGUAACGGAGGAGUACGAAGGUC
rnacentral:rRNA from 1 species